rnacentral:rRNA from 1 species
CCUACGGGAGGCAGCAGUGAGGAAUAUUGGUCAAUGGGCUUACGCCUGAACCAGCCAAGUCGCGUGAGGGAAGACUGCCCUAUGGGUUGUAAACCUCUUUUGUCAGGGAGCAACGCCGGCUACGUGUAGCCGGACUGAGAGUACCUGAAGAAAAAGCAUCGGCUAACUCCGUGCCAGCAGCCGCGGUAAUACGUAGGUGGCAAGCGUUGUCCGGAUUUACUGGGUGUAAAGGGCGUGUAGCCGGGCUGACAAGUCAGAUGUGAAAUCCGGGGGCUCAACCCCCGAACUGCAUUUGAAACUGUUUGUCUUGAGUAUCGGAGAGGCAGGCGGAAUUCCUAGUGUAGCGGUGAAAUGCGUAGAUAUCACGAAGAACUCCGAUUGCGAAGGCAGCUUACUAAACUGCCACUGACAUUGAUGCUCGAAAGUGUGGGUAUCAAACAGGAUUAGAUACCCCGGUAGUC